rnacentral:lncRNA from 1 species
AAUGAAGUCAUCAAAACAAAAUCACUGGGUAUACUUUAGUAAAGUGAGGUAAAAUUAGCAUAAAUUACAAUAUACUUUUGUGAACAGAAAAUACCAUUUCCCAUUUGUGUGACUGCAGCUUACUUAUUUUGACCCUUUAGAUUAAAAAACAAAAGAUACCACAGCUUUAUUUAGAAUAAAAAACCUUCCAAAAUAUGAACAUUAGGAAAAGCCUUUCAG